UAGUGGAUGAUCCAGCUGCCGUGUCUACAAUUAGUAAAUAAUAAAAUUAAAUUAAUUAAAGUAUGCAUAUAAGAGUUUUUAUAGUUCUAGUAAAGAAUUUUGGUAUAAAUUUUGUAUCAGUCUGUCGGCCACAAUAUGUGUGCCGACUGAGCCGCUCGUGUGUCUGAUCAGAUUUUGCUAGAUGGCUCGAUUCUACUAGGCCCUCUGCUGCU
rnacentral:lncRNA from 1 species